GACGAGGGAUCCUAGCGUUGUUCGGAAUUACUGGGCGUAAAGGGCUCGUAGGUGGCCAACUAAGUCAGACGUGAAAUCCCUCAGCUUAACUGGGGAACUGCGUCUGAUACUGGAUGGCUUGAGUUUGGGAGAGGGAUGCGGAAUUCCAGGUGUAGCGGUGAAAUGCGUAGAUAUCUGGAGGAACACCGGUGGCGAAGGCGGCAUCCUGGACCAAUACUGACACUGAGGAGCGAAAGCCAGGGGAGCAAACGGG
rnacentral:rRNA from 1 species